AAAGCUGCUAUAAGGGAUCCAGAUCCUGUCGUGUUCCUUGAAAAUGAAUUGUUAUAUGGAGAAUCAUUUCCUGUCUCGGCUGAGGCUCUUGAUUCCAGUUUCUGUCUUCCUAUUGGGAAAGCUAAGAUAGAACGUGAAGGAAAUGAUGUAACAGUCAAUCACUGCUUUCUCGAAGAUGGUUGGCUAUGCUCUAAAGAUGAAGAGGAAGCUGGCGAAAGUUAAUCGGGCUCUGGGAGCCCGACUUCUUGAGGAGGAGGAAGAGCUGAAUGAGAAUAAGGGAGCUGAUGAUGCUGAUGCUCAGAAACAUCAGAUGCUAAGAAAACAUCAAAGAAAAAGAAAGGUCUCACGAGUGAAGUUCUCAACGAUGAGAGGUUUACAGCUAUGUUUGAAAAUAAGUUGCUAAGAAUUGGGGUGCUGGUGAUGAUGACUACAAUCACAUCAGACAUCCAAAGUCUCCCAACAGAAACCUUGGUUCAGGUAUUUUCUCCUUCUUUUUUAUGGUCUAUUGAAAAUUUAUCAUUUUAUAGGCAUCUAAGUCUGGAAAGCCGAAUAUGAAAGGACUAUCCAUUGACAAAGUUGUUCACCCCAGGACAAGUCUGGCAUCAUAUUACAGCAUUUUACAGGUUUUAGACAGUGGGUAAGCCAGGUAAGUAUUAUGUGUUGUCUGUUUAUUGUGAUUUUGUUGUGAUUGGUAAAGACAUUCAUGCACAUGGUUCAUGGCCAUACAGAGCCCUGAAUGUUAGUGUUUGCAUGUUGAUCAAAGACUUUUAUCAUCAUCGUGAACUCACUUAAGUAUUUCAGGCCUGAGGUGAAAGCAGUCAGUGGAGAGGUUCUGUGAACAUUUGUGUACCAUGAAAUUUUGGCAAGUAUUUUGGACCCUUGCUCUUUUGCGACAUUAUAGUUGCAAUUUUUGUUGUUUAGUACCCAUCAUGUUCUUAUAUUUUUAGAUUGGAUUCUUAGAAUACUGCAAAAAGCAUGGUUUCACAAGCUGUUAUAUAUGAUCUUGCCCUUCUAUGAAAGGGGAAGAUUGUGGCUGUUGCUCCCAUUUUU